GUAAAAUAUCCCAGCAGGCUUUGUGUUUGGACACAAGGAAGUGUGGCUAACAAUGGCUCAGCAGUUUUGGCUCCAGAACACAGGAGAAUGGACAGGGAUGGAAGGCUAGAAAGUCACGCCAACACUUAAGCUACCAGUGAGAGGGAUGAAGGCAACACCGUCAGCACACAAGAGGGAGGCGGCUCUACAGGUGUGGAAGCCUUCACAAUCGCUUGUCCGGAGAAGAAUGCCGAAGGCUUUGUGGAAACCGAAGCACAUCCCGGUUCAACAAGUGUGAAAUUUUCCGCCACACCGCCGCUCGAAACGGGUGCAGUGACUGAAAGUCUGCGCUGUGACCAGCUUCCAGGUCUUCCCAUGGUGCCGUGCUCCUGAAUAGGCUGCUGCGAUUGACAGGGUGCACAGAGGAGCAGUGCUGUUGUAC